rfam:Anopheles farauti strain FAR1 unplaced genomic scaffold supercont2.2, whole genome shotgun sequence.
CCUUCGAUAGCCCAGUUGGUAGAGCGGUGGACUGUAGAGCGUUUGGAAGGAGAUCAAUCAAAAUCGGACAAAAUGUUUCCGAAGAUCUCUCCCCCAAAAGUUGGUGUAGAAAUCCAUAGGUCACUGGUUCAAAUCCGGUUCGAAGGA